CGAGGGGGGCGCUCGAGGGGGAGGGGGCGGGGCCUGCGUCACAGCCCCGCGACGCCCUAGCAACCGCGUCCAAGCUCACGGGCGCCUUUUUUCUACCGAAGGCCGAGUUCCCAGGUUUACACUUCGUGAUGAUCUUUUCUGGAUAAUUGUAUGAUAGGAAAACGAAAACGUCUCCCAAUGGCGUAAGCUUCCUGAGAACAGGUUUGCUCCCUAGGAACACACCUGAAGAACAGAUAGGCUGGCCAACCUUGCCUUGUCCCUUCCUGCUUGUCGUCCUCACGGUAAUAGUAUAGCGCAGCAUCCUGACAUGGGGAAGUAAUGUCUAUCAGAAGCCUGGUUUUGUCCUCACCUCAUCACUUCAGAAUAAGGUAUGCCCAUGAUCCCAGCAACAGAGUCCACGGAGCAGAAUGUCUUCAUGGUCUCUCCACCAUGACAGGAUGUGAGACCUGAACAGAUGAGAUGCCAUCUGCCUGGGCCACUUUUCUGAGCCUUGGAGAAGCCAUGGCUCUUAGGCUGCUGUGUUUGCUGCCUAUGAGUGAUAAUAAACCUGCUUUGUCUGAC